GGGGUUGUAGCUCAGUGGUAUAGCGCUUGCUUAGCAUGUAUGAGGUACUGGGUUUGAUCCCCAGCACCACA
rnacentral:tRNA from 1 species